rnacentral:rRNA from 1 species
CGCAAUGGGCCUGGUUCGGAUUUCUGUCAUCUAUGUGGGGCCUUGGAGAACUCUGAUCACAUCUUUUUCAAUUGCGUGCUGGCCAAGCUGGUUUGGUGCUGUGUUAGAUCUUGGCUUCAGGUCUCUUGGAACCCCUCCUCUUUCUCCGAUAUUCGAACCCUAGCCAAAGCUUUGGUUGGGGUCACCAAGAGGGUGUUUUGGGUUGGCCUGGGUGCCUUAUGUUGGGCUCUGUGGACCAUUAGGAACAAAUUUACUAUUGAGCAUAUCUUCCCAUCUAAGCCUGCUGACGUUCUUUUCAAAUCAUGUAUAUUAUUGCAGCAGUGG